ACUCAACGUUAAUUCUUUAAAAAGGGUGAGUUGAAGUUGUAAAAUCGUGCUGUUAAUACGAAAGUGUUUAGACAGAUUUUUGAUCAGCUUGUUAGCCCUAAACUUGUUUUUAAGGAGUUU
rnacentral:sRNA from 1 species